CACCGGGAGCAGGCAGUUCCGAGAACAGCCCAAUGAAGGCCCCCGGCGGCUGUUCUCGAAACUGCCUGUUACCGGUGACCGCAUUUGUAUCAGACCGGCUCGCGGCGCAGGCACUGGUAGGGACUUGCCUGUGCCUCGCCGUACUUGUGAUUUAAGAUGGCAGCCCGCAUGUGUUCGCAGGCGAACACGGAAAACUGGCCAUCACUGCUAAUAAAUGCUGGAGAACCCCUUU